ensembl:lncRNA
CUCCGACAACAACAACAACUACUACGACAGCUACAACUGCAGCACCUACAAUGACAACUGCAGCUUCUAUUACAACUGCAGCACCUACUAUGAUAACUGCAGCACCUAUUACGACAACUGCAGCACCUAUUACGAAAACUGUAGCUCCUACAACAACUACUUCUGCAGCUCCUACGACAACGUCUACUGCAUCACCUUCUACAACUGCAGCUCCUACGACCACUACGAUUGCAACAACUACUACGACAACCACAACUGCAGAUCCUACUGCUACAACCACAACUGCAGAUCCUACUACAUUAGUUGCACUUAUGAGCACUACCCCAGCUGAACCUGCAACAACUGUAGAUAAAACUGCUACAACUGCAGCAACUACUACAACUGAAGCUGCAAACACAACCAAACCUACUACGACAGCUACAACUAAUGUUCCUACGACCUCCACAACAGCAACACCUGCAACGACAAUUGCCGCUCCUACGACAACUGCAGCUCCUAUGACAACUACAGCUCAUACAACUGCAUCUCAUACAACAAUAACUGUAUCUCUUUUUACCACUACACCUGUAGCGCUUACUACAGCCACAACAGCAACACCUACAAAUACAACUGGAGCACCUGCUACAGAAACUACAAUUGCACCUACUACGACAACCACUACUGCAACUUCUAUGAUAACUGCAGCUACUCUGACCAAUGUAGCUCCUACGACAACCAGAACUUCAGUUUCUACGACGAACACCACCUUAGCUCCUACGACAACAACGACAACUGCAACUCCUAUGACAACGACAACUCCAGCACCUUAUAUGACAACCGCAACUGUAGCUACAGCAACAACUGUAGCUCCUACAACAAUACUAUCUGUAGCUUCUACAACCACUAAAACUGCAGCAACUACUACAACUGAAGCUCCGAUAAUAACCACACCUACUAUGACAGCUACAACUGAAGCUCCUACGAUUACUUCAACAGCAACACCUGCAACACCAACUGUAGCUCCUACGACAACUGCAUCUCGUACGACAACUGCAGCUACUAGGACAACUGCAGCUCGUAUGACAACAACUGUAUCUCUUCUGAACAUUACACCUGAGGUACCUGCUACUGCUCCUACUACAACUGUAGCUCCUACUACAACUACAUCAGCAGCGCCUACGACAACCACUGCAGCUCUUACUACAACAUUUGUAGAUAUUACAACAACUACAACUAGAGCACUUGCUACAGAAACUACAAUUGCACGUACUACGACAACUGCAGCACCUACGACAACUGCAGCUUCUACGACAACUGCAGCUCCUACGACAACCACAACUGCAGCUUUUACGAGAACUACCACUGCUCCUACUAUCAACAGCACCAUAGAAGCUCCUACUUCCACAACCAUAACUGAAGCUUCUAUAACCACCACAACUGUAUCUUCUACUAUGACAACCACAACUUCAGCUGCCAUAAUGACAACUACAAAUUUAGCUCCAACAAUGGCAACUCCAGCUCUUACAGCCACCACCACCACUGUAGCUUCUAGCAUGGCAAUUCAACCUGCAGGUCCUACAACAACGACCACAAUUGUUGCUCCAACAAUGACUACAACUGCAGCACCUACAAGUACAACCACCAUUGUACUUCCAACUUUUACUUCAACUUCUAUGGUUUCAGGGACAUCAACAACUUCUAUGGCUUCAGGGACGUCAACAACCAGAUUUGGCACAGUGGUGGUUUUUGUUAGACUGGUGUUCCAGCUCAACACACUAGUCCCCACUGAAGAUGAUGUUCUUGGUGUCAUCAACAAGCAACUGUCUCGUCAAUUCAACAUUCAGAGAAGCACUCAGACCACCUUCCAGAAUGCAACUUAUAUCAAACUUACACAUACUUCAUUUGCCGUCGAUCUUGGUUUCAAAAUAACCAAUGUAACCAUGGAGUCUCAAAGAGAUAGACUCACAUUCACCAGCGAGACCUACAACAAGAUACAGGAUUCAAUUAACAGCCUACUCCAUGAAAUUCUUAGUAAACCAGAUGGCAAACAAUUUGUCUUUCCCAAUGCCAACUUCACUAUUGUUGGCACUCAAAUCAGGGCAGACAUCAUGUAUGUAUACAAAGAGGAAGACAUCAAGCUCCCUAGUGCUUUUCUAGAGGAAGUCUUAAAAGUCUCAGGUCUCCUAACAACCACGGUUUCCCCAACAACUACCAGCACCUCACCACUUCCAACCCUUUUGCUGACCACUACUUUCAAUACCACAAGUAAUGGAGGUUUUCCUGGCUGGGCUCUGGCCAUUAUCAUCCCUUGUGGCAUCGCUAUCAUUUUGGUACCUCUGUGGAUCCUGCUAUGUUGCAUGCUAUGUGGCUGUUGUGCAGCUGUAAGGAGACGCUGGCACAGACGUAGAUCUUACAAUGUACAGUACACCACCAGAAACGGUUUCUUCUGAGGUGACAACGCUAACAUCUGUGGGCAACUGUCAUCACAAGAACAACCAAUCAUCUAUAUCUGCUAAUCACGGGACUUUAAUGCAUGGAAAAUUCCUUGUUACUACAUACAAUUGCAUCUGAAAAGAUCAAGUGGGGAGUUGCAUAUAUUUUUAUCAUAAAAAGAAAAUUGAUAAUGGGCUUAAUAGGCCACAUGUUUUUUGUGCAAUGUACUACGUUUUAUAUUAUAGAUAUAUGAUUGUUAAUCAAAGAUACAGCUGAGCUGAACAUGGAAUGUUUAUAUAUUUAUUAGCUAUGUCAUUUGUGGUUUCAAGCUGUGCUAUCCACUUACUAAAACAUUUAUCACUUAUUUAUUUAAUGUGUAAUAAACUAGAUUACAAUAUUUGUUUUUGAGUUUUGUUAUUAACUCUCUUGAUUAACUAUGAACUAAUUUAUUUUAAACUGCAAUACAGUACUUGUUUCUUCAACUUACAGUUUGACAAAUGUAAAAAAAAAUCUUUACAAACCAGUAUUACGUUAACAGUUUAUGAAUAGGUUUG